rnacentral:rRNA from 1 species
GUGGGGAAUAUUGGACAAUGGGGGGAACCCUGAUCCAGCCAUGCCGCGUGUGUGAAGAAGGCCUUUUGGUUGUAAAGCACUUUAAGCGAGGAGGAGGCUACCGAGAUUAAUACUCUUGGAUAGUGGACGUUACUCGCAGAAUAAGCACCGGCUAACUCUGUGCUAGCAGCCGCGGUAAUACAGAGGGUGCAAGCGUUAAUCGGAUUUACUGGGCGUAAAGCGCGCGUAGGUGGCCAAUUAAGUCAAAUGUGAAAUCCCCGAGCUUAACUUGUGAAUUGCAUUCGAUACUGGUUGGCUAGAGUAUGGGAGAGGAUGGUAGAAUUCCAGGUGUAGCGGUGAAAUGCGUAGAGAUCUGGAGGAAUACCGAUGGCGAAGGCAGCCAUCUGGCCUAAUACUGACACUGAGGUGCGAAAGCAUGGGGAGCAAACAGGAUUAGAAACCCCUGUAGUCC